rnacentral:rRNA from 1 species
UGGGGGAUAUUGCACAAUGGGCGAAAGCCUGAUGCAGCGACGCCGCGUGGGGGAUGAAGGCUUUCGGGUUGUAAACCUCUUUCGCUAUCGAACAAGGCCCGCUUAGGGUGGGUUGAGGGUAGGUGGAGAAGAAGCGCCGGCUAACUACGUGCCAGCAGCCGCGGUAAUACGUAGGGCGCGAGCGUUGUCCGGAAUUAUUGGGCGUAAAGGGCUUGUAGGCGGCUUGUUGCGCCUGCUGUGAAAACGCGGGGCUUAACUUCGCGCGUGCAGUGGGUACGGGCAAGCUUGAGUGUGGUAGGGGUGACUGGAAUUCCAGGUGUAGCGGUGGAAUGCGCAGAUAUCUGGAGGAACACCGAUGGCGAAGGCAGGUCACUGGGCCAUUACUGACGCUGAGGAGCGAGAGCAUGGGUAGCGAACAGG